rnacentral:rRNA from 1 species
UGUGAACGUUACCAAACUGUUGCCUCGGCGGGAUCUCUGCCCCGGGUGCGUCGCAGCCCCGGACCAAGGCGCCCGCCGGAGGACCAACCAAAACUCUUAUUGUAUACCCCCUCGCGGGUUUUUUUUAUAAUCUGAGCCUUCUCGGCGCCUCUCGUAGGCGUUUCGAAAAUGAAUCAAAACUUUUCAACAACGGAUCUCUUGGUUCUGGCAUCGAUGAAGAACGCAGCGAAAUGCGAUAAGUAAUGUGAAUUGCAGAAUUCAGUGAAUCAUCGAAUCUUUGAACGCACAUUGCGCCCGCCAGUAUUCUGGCGGGCAUGCCUGUCCGAGCGUCAUUUCAACCCUCGAACCCCUCCGGGGGGUCGGCGUUGGGGAUCGGCCCUGCCUUGGCGGUGGCCGUCUCCGAAAUACAGUGGCGGUCUCGCCGCAGCCUCUCCUGCGCAGUAGUUUGCACACUCGCAUCGGGAGCGCGGCGCGUCCACAGCCGUUAAACACCCAACUUCUGAAAUGUUGACCUCGGAUCAGGUAGGAAUACCCGCUGAACU